rnacentral:rRNA from 1 species
CCUACGGGAGGCAGCAGUGAGGAAUAUUGGGCAAUGGACGGAAGUCUGACCCAGCCAUGCCGCGUGCAGGAUGACUGCCCUAUGGGUUGUAAACUGCUUUUAUACAGGAAGAAACCUUUCCACGUGUGGGAAGCUGACGGUACUGUAAGAAUAAGCACCGGCUAACUCCGUGCCAGCAGCCGCGGUAAUA